AUGGCGGAGAAUCACUGCGAGCUGCUGCCGCCGGCCCCGAGCGGCCUCGGGGCGGGGCUGGGGGGCGGCCUGUGCCGGCGCUGCAGCGCGGGGCUCGGCGCCUUGGCCCAGCGUCCCGGCAGCGUGUCCAAGUGGGUCCGGCUCAACGUCGGCGGCACCUACUUCCUCACCACUCGGCAGACGCUGUGCCGGGAUCCGAAAUCCUUCCUGUACCGUUUGUGCCAGGCCGACCCCGACCUGGACUCGGACAAGGACGAAACAGGUGCCUACUUAAUCGACAGAGACCCCACCUACUUUGGGCCCGUGCUGAACUACCUGAGACAUGGGAAGCUGGUCAUUAACAAAGACCUGGCAGAGGAAGGAGUAUUGGAGGAAGCGGAAUUUUACAAUAUCACCUCACUAAUAAAACUCAUCAAGGACAAAAUUAGAGAGCGAGACAGCAAAACAUCACAGGCGCCGGUGAAGCACGUGUACCGUGUCCUGCAGUGUCAAGAGGAGGAGCUCACGCAGAUGGUCUCCACCAUGUCCGACGGCUGGAAGUUCGAGCAGCUGGUCAGCAUCGGCUCCUCCUACAACUAUGGCAGCGAGGACCAGGCCGAGUUCCUGUGUGUGGUCUCCAAGGAGCUGCACAACUCGCCACACGGCCCCACCAGCGAGCCGAGCGAGAAGGCCAAGAGUGACGACGAGGACACGGGUCCCGGUGACAGUGACUCAGAUUAAGUGUAAAUGUCACGCAGCCAUGUGGACCAAGAAAAGGGACACAGGGAACAGGUGCGACGAGCGUCGGCUGUGACGGUCGUGACACUCGUUACACCGAGGGAUCACCGCAGGGUCUCACUUCCCUCUUCUCAUCCUGGAGUCAGAAGUGCAGUGUGCGGGUGGGGCCCGUCUCAGCCUGGAGUGACCGCCCCUUCGGGCUCACUGCAGUGGGGGUGCAGGAGCGCAGAGGAGCCAGCCUCCCGGAGGAGGGCAGAGGUUCUUUCAGCACUGCCCCCGUUACAGCUGUCGCGUGUGCUGGCGGAGGCCCUGACUCCGGGCGUGGACUGCUGUGGGGUGCUGCCCCGGCCCUUUGGGGGCCCUGCCGCGUACCGGGCUCGGCCUGCUCCGUUCCAGCGAGCUGCCUUAGGCCUUCUCGCCAGCGGCGGCUGAGAUUUUGCAAGAAAGGGGUUCAAGGAUGUGAGGAACACACUGUCGAAGCUGAAGAGACGUUUUACCUUUUCCCAAGACACAAUGAUCUGCCAUGUCGAGGGAGCUUGGCCGUGAGAAGAAACCUGCUUUUGACAAUUUCUCUAGAGAUCUGGGUGUGAAUGCUUUUUUUGCCUCUGAGGUGGGUGGUGAGAGACGGGACCAGCUGUCCGAAGCCGGGCAUCGCUGCUCGCAGGCGGCUCCUGCUGGGCGGGCAUCUCUGCGGGGACCUCCGCUCAGUUUCCCAAGUGCCGCUCAGGCCCGAGGCAGGGCUCCUGACUGGCCCUUAUAUCACCGAAGAUCAUUUCAAGGACCGUGUUCUUGGUGCUACAUAAACAGUCUGUAACGGAGCCUGGGCCUCACUGGUAGGAGGUGGGCACAGUGCCCCGGGCUCUGGGUGCCCUCUGGCCACCCUGGUCCUUGGGGCAGGGGGUCUGCUGUGCCUCCCAGAUGUGACGGCUUGGUGGUCUCUCCUGGCCUCCGCGUGUUCACUACUUCCUGGGCCUGACCCAGCCGGGCUGACCCAGGCUUCUCCGUUUGUAGUUUCUAGACAAGAGACCGUGACGUCCUUUUUUCCCCGUGUGGACAGACUCCCAGCGCGUUCACUUCCUAGAGACGCCUGAAAGCGCUGCUGCCUUUUGGGCAGACCUGUCCCGUCACUUAAAGGGCGGGACGAGUUUGCCUCCUCUGGCCCGCGCGGGGGCAGCCAGCGCCCCGCAGUGCCUUGCUCUCGCCUGGGCUGGAGGGCGGGCGGGAGGCCUGUCCACGGGCUCCCGGAGCUGAGACUCCAGGCCACGCUGGAGGUCGGGUGUUGACAGCGCACACGGACAGCCUCUGCCGGCGCGCGCUCAUGUAACUAUGCAGUUCUCCGACAUUUCUGGGGCGCUGGGGAGGAGCCUGCACGGCCAGCCCCCGCCUGAUGCUGGAGCUGCCGGAUUGGAUUCCUUUGAGGACGGCUGUCCGCACGCUUUGAGAGCUGACCUUCCCCAGCGGGUCGGGGACCUGUGACCCCCAUCCCAUCCGGGUGCCGACCUGCCUGGCUCCAGACGCUACCGGAGGCUUCUCGCCUGCCCCUCUUCUCCUUUGCUAAUAUUACCUGAUGAACCAAGUUCUCCAGCACUAGGACUUACCUCCUUUUGUAAGGUCUGUUGUGCGUGGUUCAGCGUUUUUGGCUUCACACCGACCUUUCCAUAGGGCACACUCGGCCCCGAGACCCGCCCUCCCCUUGGAGCCUCGGGGAUACCGUGGGGCGCUGCUGACUGCUUCGCGUCGUUUGAUUUGUGACCUUGACAUAAUAGAUAGGCUUGUGGUUUGUUCGUUUUUUUAAUUUAAAGAUAUUAAAACUUAAUUCACUAAAAUUUAU